GAUCCUGGUUCAGGAUGAACGCUGGCGGCGUGCCUAAUACAUGCAAGUCGAACGCGCAGCGAGAGGUGCUUGCACCCUUCAAGCGAGUGGCGAACGGGUGAGUAACACGUGGAUAACCUGCCUCAAGGCUGGGGAUAACAUUUGGAAACAGAUGCUAAUACCGAAUAAAACUUAGUAUCGCAUGAUGUCAAGUUAAAAGGCGCUACGGCGUCACCUAGAGAUGGAUCCGCGGUG
rnacentral:rRNA from 1 species